AACCUUAACAUAAUGCUUAUCCUCAGCAGCAAAAAGCAAAUUCAACGCCUUCAUUACAACCAAAAGUGCCAUAAGUCCAUGAAUCCUAUGCACUGAUAUCCUAUUCUUCAAACACACCAACACCCAGACGGCCAAGAAGCCAAAAUAAACCAAGGAAAACAAAAAGUACAACGUUGGCAACUGCGUAAGACCUGCAGACAGAUAAUCUUUAACGCGGCCAUCGAGAUUGUAAAGCUCAGUGCGUACAUCCAUUGAAACUUUUGAUUCAGGAGCACAAUUGGCGAAGAAGAGAGAGUAUUCAUUAGGGGAAGUUACAGGAUAAGCUCGAUCAAAUGACGAAUUAGGUGGAGGAGAAAGAUCACGAAAAGUGAAUAAACGUUGAAUGUAAUUGGAUUCAAGGACACAGAAAUUAGGGUUUUGUUGAAGCUCAAUAAGGACUUGAAUUAGGGAUUCUUCAGAUAAGAGGAAGAAUCCGAGUCCUGAAGGAUCAGGCGUAGCUAGACUGGAGAUGACGGAGACAGAGGAUACGCUAAUGGAAGCUUGACCCGUAUGUGUGAACCCGAAUCGUUCGAAGAGGAUCAUGGGUCGGUUAUCGGAUCGGAUCUUCAGUUUUUUUAUCUCGCCGGAGGUGAAUGAGGCAAGGCAGAGUAGAAGGAGGAGGAGGGUGGGCAAUUUCGACAUUUUUUUUGCCCGGCGGUGGAUACGGCGGCGAUGGUGGAAUUUGGCGGCGGAGCACGGCGGAGGAG
rnacentral:misc_RNA from 1 species